GUUAAGCACGCUUGCUGCUCUCGCAGAGGACCAGAUCUUGGUUCCUUGCAGCUGUGUCACGUAGCUUACAGCGAAACCACCUGUAACCCCAGCUCCAGGGAUCUAAUGUCCUCUUCGGGCCUCUGCAGGUUGGCCCUGAACUGCUGAUCCUCCACUCCACCUCCUGAAUGCUGGAAUUAGAGGUGUGUGAUCAGGAUUUACAGUCACGUUACCAUGCCUGUUAAACUCGGAUGUUACAGGAGAGUCUUACUGAGCACUGAAAUGAAGAGCUGAGCUGACAGGGGAGCUUGAGGGAAUCUCAGGUGUCAGCGACUUCCCAGACACUGCCCAGUCUGCCUUCCUGAGCCAUAAAGCCUACGCAGAUGCAGCUGGUGGCAUGUUGUGUCAGUUUGUAGCAAUGCUAAAAGUGCGUUGAAGCCUGUGUCUGAAGUUAGUGUCUACUAAGAUUAAGCCAUGGCCUCCUUCAGGCAUGCUGGUCACACAAAGUGAUACUAAGGAGGGGGCGGGCACUGGCUAGCGGGAGAACAGCCCCUCCCCCAUCCCACCAACAUUUCUCCUCCCUCUUAACAUCAGAUGCUCCAGUUCCACCCUGCCAGAGUAGCCUCUUUGCUUCCCUCUAAUCUCCUCCUUUCUGCAGCUGGACCUUUCCUGUCUCCUCCCUCUUUGAACAGAGUGUUUUCUUUAUCUAGACUAUCUGAGCCCCCUGGCAAACGCUACAGUGGAACAUUCAGCUCUCUGCCCUAAGACCAUAAACUAGACAAAGGCAGGACUGGGCUAUAAGUACAUUGUUGAUUUGUUUGGGUAUUAGUUUACUUCUUUGCUUCAGACUCCCUACGUGGCUGAGGCUGGCCUUGAACUCCUGAUGUCCCUGCCUCAGCCUCCCUGAGUGUUGGGAAUAGAGGCAUUUGACAGUCAUGCCCAAUACUCAGGCAUGGUCUGUCUGACUCAAGAAUAUAUACUUUAUUUCUUCCGGGGGGACCCCUGGGCUAUUUACAUUUGCUCCUUUGGCCUUAGAAAAGAUGGAGUUAGAGGAGAUCAUAUCUAGAGUUCCUUGAAGCUAUGUUAUAUGAAAAGAACAAAACAUAGCUGG